UGCCAGCCGCCGCGGUAAUACGGAGGGUGCAAGCGUUAAUCGGAAUUACUGGGCGUAAAGCGUGCGUAGGCGGUUUAUUAAGUCAGAUGUGAAAGCCCCGGGCUUAACCUGGGAACUGCAUUUGAAACUGGUAAACUAGAGUAUGGUAGAGGAAAGUGGAAUUUCUGGUGUAGCGGUGAAAUGCGUAGAUAUCAGAAGGAACAUCAAUGGCGAAGGCAGCUUUCUGGACCAAUACUGACGCUGAGGUACGAAAGCGUGGGUAGCAAACAGGAUUAGAUA
rnacentral:rRNA from 1 species